UAUGAUAGAUGGCUCAUUUCAUUUAAUUGAUUACUAUAAUUUGUAUAGUUAAAAAUGUUUAUAGUUUUAAAUUGGAGAUUGUUAUAAAUGAAAUUUACCUUUGAGAAGCUUCUCCAGGACCGUAACUACAUUGAGAGCCUCAUUUUAGAAAUUUCAGAAAAAAAAACUCAAACAAAAGAUUGUCUUUAUAUCAAAAUUUUGUCACGGAAAGUGUCAUGCAAGAUGCAAGUUCUCUUCACUUUCUGAUGUAGCCCAUGCAUGUUUUUCGUGAUCCAUGUUUCUAUUUUACUUUUAUUUUUCAGAGUUGAUGGUCUAUUGUUUGUACAUCUGUGUCCCUGGUUGGUCUUUUGUUCAUUGAUUGUUUUAUGCUUUUAAAGACUAUUGUCUUAGUGUUGGUUUUCAUUUGUAAACGUCAAGUUUUGCAAUAUUGCAUGUCCACCAAUGUCCAGACAUUGUGCUGGGAAAUAUUUUCAAAAGACUGGACACAGAAAAAAAUGGUCGUUUCAAAACUUGAUUUCAAAGAAUAAAAAGCUGACGUUUUGUCGAUAAAACUAAGAUAUAUAUGUAGCUGACAUGAUUUAAAUUUAAGUAAGGUCACCUAUUUCCUGGUAUCAAAUAAUUUGAAAAAAAAGAACAAUGUAUUGCCAUAUGACCUUUUACAUUGAAGGGUUAAAUUUGCAUUAAGUCAUGUUCAGACCCUUUAACAGAAAAUAAAGGAAUAUGGAGUAAAGACGUGCACGGGGCCUGAUCACACUCAAAGUCAAUGCAUAGAAAAAAUACAAAUUAUCAAUCCAAGUGGUCAAAGUUUUUAUUUCUGUUCUUCAUUUUGAUAGUUGCUGGAGGGUCUUCAACAAUAAAGAAUCAUUAAAGGUCAAGAUGGUCCCUAGUGUCGACUUAAGCAGUACAAGUACUUAAAGUAUAAUACUGCACUGUCACUAUAUUUUAAUCUAGCCAUAAAAA
rnacentral:lncRNA from 1 species